GACAGAGGGUGCAAGCGUUGUUCGGAAUCAUUGGGCGUAAAGGGCGCGUAGGCGGCCUUGUAAGUCGGAUGUGAAAUCCCAGGGCUCAACCGUGGAAGUGCAUCCGAAACUGCGAGGCUUGAAUCUCGGAGAGGGUGGUGGAAUUCCCAGUGUAGAGGUGAAAUUCGUAGAUAUUGGGAGGAACACCGGUGGCGAAGGCGACCACCUGGCCGAAGAUUGACGCUGAGGCGCGAGAGCGUGGGGAGCAAACAGG
rnacentral:rRNA from 1 species